rnacentral:lncRNA from 1 species
AGACAUUAAUCUUAAGUAUCCAGGGAGCCCUAAAACAUUGUAUCCCACUAGCAAGGACCAUGGUAAUUGCCACGUAAAUCCCCUCCAUUAUGUGGCCCUUAUUAUGACCAGCCAGCCAAGGCUUGCCUUUAAAUCAUACCAAUUGAACCGAGCCUUGUAGAAACACUAUCACCUACGCAUACCUCUGCUUCUUUUCAUUAACCUGCUAUCCUCUUUACAAAUGGGAUUCUUCACCCACUCCCUUCUUCUAGAUUAGCAAUGCCCUGUUAAGUAAACGAACACGAAAUUCAAAGGGAAACAGGAGCAAUCAUCAUUACCAGCUGCCGUGUUAAGCAUUGCGAAAACGCUCACGAUUCACAGAAAAAUCCAUGCUGUUCUUUGAAGGCAUUCAAGCCUUAAUAGCUAGCUGGAUGAAUGUUUAACUUCUAGGCCAGGCACUACUCUGUCCCAACAAUAAGCCCUGUACAUUGGGAAAGGUGCCGAGACAUGAACUUUGGUCUUCUCUGCAAUCCAUCUGGAGCAUUCACUGACAACAUCGACUUUGAAGUUGCACUGACCUGGCCAGCCCUGCCACUUACCAGGUUGGCAUCUGGCAUCUUUCUUGACAUAUGUAGCAGUUGCUUUUUGACAGCUUGCUUCUUCAGUGAAUGAAUAAAUUAAUAAAGAGAAAUGUGAUGUUCAGUGAUCCAUUUUGCAGAUUGAGCCUCAUAUUUCAUAUCUGCCCCUGGCCUAAUGGUUGUUUACAGAAUGAGCUCAAUGAAUAUUGUUAAAUAACACUAACAAAGUUGACCUUAGAAUUGGAGUGCCUGGGUUAGAACCCUGCUGGUACCACCUGCUUACUGCAUGCUUCUGAUGUGAGUUCAGGAGAAGACACUGGCAAGGACAGCAAAGAACAGGAGAACACUCUAGCUUCCCUGAUAGCAUUCAAGGUGCUGUCCAAACUGACUGUGAUGGCACCCUCCAGACAGACAGCGAUGCCACAUGUUCAAGAUGGCAGAAUCACUAUCAGCUUCAAUUCCUGAAUGACUGCAGAGCAAAAUUUCUUACCUGCAACAUACACUCUAUUUUCAGCCUCCCUGGACUGUUACAUAAUGAUACAUAAAAAUAUUUCUUGUGUUGAGGCAUCCCAAAUUUGAUUUAUUUGUCAUCACAGUCUAUCCUAUGAAUAUAUUUCUGAUCCAAAUAAUGCUAGAUUCAUGAGAGUUUAUAGUCCAGAGAUUUUUUUUUUUUUUUUGAGACAGAAUCUGUCUCCCAGGCUGGGGUGCAGUGGCAUAAUCUUAGCUCACUGCAACCUCUGCCUCCCGGGCUCAAGUGAUCCUCCCUCCUUAGCCUCCAUGAGUAGCUGGGACCACAGGUGUGCACCACCACACCCCGCUAAUUAUUUUGUAUUUUUUGCAGAGGGGGGUUUCACCACAUUGCCCAAGCUGGUCUCAAACUCCUAGACUUAAGGGAUCUGCCUGCCUUGGCCUCCCAAAAUGCUGAAAUUACACUUGUUAGCCAUAGUAAUAGUUCCUAGCCAUAGUCCGGAGAUAUUUUAAAAACUUUAGUGUGAGUUAUUUCUCUUUGCUAUAAUUCUCUCAUGCAUUUUGAAAACCUUUUCUGCCAUACAGUGGUUUUUGGGAAGUCCUUUUGGACAGACAUAUCACAGGAUGGAGAAACUAAAAAGAGAGAAUGCAUUAAAGAAAAAAUAGUACUUCGUAUUUCAGAAAUUACAAAAGGGUGUCAUGCCCCACAGCAUGGUGGGCAGUCAUUUGUAACCCACAGAACAUUGAGUUUCUAAAAUUUGAGUGUUUUUAACUUACGAAGGCCAACUUUACUGAUGAAGUGAUUACCCCAAAUAUGUGAAAUCCAUAUUUCAAGUACAAUAGUAGGAAAUUGGAAAUGGGCUCUUGAGUUUCUGCUUUCAAGUGACCCUCAGAAAUUCCUCCAUUCACUGCAGAGGUUCUGUUUCUCCUUGCUUUGUUCUGACUUUACGGCAGAACUAAGCUAAUGAGUUAGUUACUAUGGGUUAUCACUUGGAUUUGAAGAACCAUCAUUUCUAGGCAUUGCUGCUCAGAGUGGGUCUGCCCUCAGGGGAAGCUGUCUAACCAGAGCCUAACCCACUAGGGUUUUAUCAGAACCUAACUGACCUGAGGAAAAGAAAUACUCAACUCCAGCAAGCUCCAGCCUUCCAAAUGGAGGAGGAGAAAACCCAACUCCAGCCCACUUCAGCUAUCUUGUCCCACAUAAAGGGGAAGUGGAAGAAACCUGAGAAGCAGGCAUGAAGUUCACAGUCCAGAGACCUUGCCAUCGUAUCCCCUUUUGGAGACACAAGCCAGGAAGGAAGCUCUUCAGUGCAGCUGUGAAUAGAGAAAUGCUGGCUGAGGUUUUGGAGACACUGGGUGAUCAUUCCCAGUGAAAUUUUUAGAUCCCUGGGGACAUGAGCUGCUUUGUCUUUUCCAAGGUCAGGAUAAACAGAAUAACUUCAGGCUUCUCUACCCAGAAAGAACAUGUGGCAUAAAUAUCAACUGCAGAAUAAAUAUGAUUAAUCUGGUACAUGGACGAAGAUGUUUUCUAGGAGAUGCUUAUCCUGGGAUGAGAGCUUUCAUAAGCAUUGAUAUUUACAUGACUCUUACCGUGUGUCAGGAACUGUUCUAAUUGUUUUACCUAUGUCAAUUCAUUUGAUAGUCACAACCACUGAAAGGAGUAAGUACUCUUAUUACUUCCAUUUUACAGAUAGGGAAACUGAGGUAUAGAGAAGUCAAGUGACUUGCCCGAGGUUAUUAAACUACUUAAUGUCAACACCA